rnacentral:lncRNA from 1 species
AAUGUUUUAGUGUGUAUCUAAGGUAACUCUGUUGCCUCUGACCAAAUGUAAAACAUACUGCCAACUGGGCAGUGUUCCAAGAACACUUUCUCCCUAUAGCGAGGAAGAGGUUUGAGGAUCCGAGUCUCGUCAGAGACUAUGUUUGAGAGCUCUCUAAAAAAUAUGUGUGCGCUUUUCUUGGAGAGGAAAAAGAGGAAGUUUUUUGUGCAGUAGACGCCUGUCUCUGCGGAUGAGCCUCUAUCUUUACAUGAUUCUAACUUGCCCAAGGUCAUUGUGUCAGUUUUUUACUACCUCCAUCUCCUGUUAUAUAUCUUUCUGACGUAAUUUAAGGUACACACAAAAAUGCCUUCGAUUGUAAUUUUUUCAUAAAAAUAUAAACUAUAUUUUUUUAUUAAGAAAAUUUUAAAGUUAAUAAUCAAAAUAUCUUUUUAAUGCAUUAUAAAUUCUCCUUUAUAGAAAGAAAAGGAGCAAGUCGUGAGUCUUGUGUGGAUGUGAGCCUGUGAACUUUUUAGUUUUUACAUGAUUAGAACUUGAAGUUUGUGGGUGUGAGCCUGUUAGGCUGUCAACUUUACAUGAUUCCAGCUUGAACUUGCCCAAGGCCAUUGUGUCAAGUCUUUCAUGUUCUCUACUUAGUUGAUGCAAGCUGUGUGUUUCAAUUAACAACUAGGCAUUCGGAUUUCAGAAGUAAAUUAUGUACUCAGAGAACACUGAAGUUGUGAUUGAAGGGAAAAAAAGGAAAUGUAACAUUUAAGGUUGCUGAUGUUAAAAAGAAGAUGUGCAUCUGAGUGUGUUAUAAUGGGGACUUGAGAAAAUAUACAGGGAGAUGAGAAAAAUGUUAUUAUUUUCAUUUUGCUCAAUCUUAAGAUGAUACCUUCAAUUUGCAAAUAUGGAUUAUCUUCUGAAACUUGAAAUCAUAAUACAGUUUUACUGCAUUCUCUAUAUACUCUUAUCAUACAGGUGAACUUUAAUAUACAAUAUGCCGGUUCGGUUACAUUAUAUAGAAUGUCAUAUAUUUAUACUUGUGACAUUGCAUCUUAUUUUUCGAAGGGAACUCGCCAAUAGACAGAGAAAGCUCAGGCUAACCAGACCUCGCGGAGAAGGCCAAACCUUGUGUUUGUAGAACUAUAACCUCUUUGAUCCGACUUGUUUCCAUUCCCAUUUUCAUCUGG